UACGUAGGUGGCAAGCGAUACUCGGAAUCACUAGGCGUAAAGCGCAGGUAGGCGGUUUGGUAAGUCUUUUGUGAAAGCUCCCGGCUUAACUGGGAGAGGUCAAAGGAAACUACCAGACUAGAGUGUGGUAGGGGAUACUGGAAUUCCUGGUGUAGCGGUGAAAUGCGUAGAUAUCAGGAGGAACACCGAUGGCGAAGGCAGGUCUCUGGGCAUUAACUGACGCUGAGGAGCGAAAGCAUGGGGAGCGAACAGG
rnacentral:rRNA from 1 species